rnacentral:antisense_RNA from 1 species
GGAAGGGAUGAUGGCACUCCUAUCCUUACACACAGGUAACAAUCCUUACAGGCUGUUAUCACCAGGGCUCUCACCACACCUGGCCUGCCAGCAAUUUUAGAAUUCAACGUUUCUCACAUCUGGGCAGGGUGCUGUGGCUCACGUCUUUAAUCCAAGC